UAGAUGGAGGCCGAUCGUGGACGAGGAGAG
rnacentral:piRNA from 1 species